rnacentral:rRNA from 1 species
CCGCAUGUGUCCGCAAGGAUAAAGCCGGCCUCUGUAUAUGCUGGUGCUUGGAGCUGAGCCUGCGUCUGAUUAGCUAGUUGGUGGGGUAAUGGCCUACCGAGGCGAUGAUAAGUAGGCGGCUUUAACGAGUGGUCGCCCACACUGGGAUUGAGAUACGGCCCAGACUCCUACGGGAGGCAGCAGUCGAGGAUAGUCUACAAUGGUCGAAAGAUUGAUAGUGCGACGCCGCGUGAACGAUGAAGCAUUUCGGUGUGUAAAGUUCUUUUCUAUGCGAGCAGGGGCUUGGUGGUUAAUAGCGACCGGGUCUUGAUAUUAGUAUAGGAAUAAGCCACGGCUAACUCCGUGCCAGCAGCCGCGGUAAUACGGGGGUGGCGAGCGUUGUCCGGAAUUACUAGGCGUAAAGGGCAGGUAGGCGGUUAUGUAAGUUAAUUGUUAAAGGCCCAUGCUUACCAUGGGUAAGGCAGUUGAUACUGUGUAACUGGAAUAGAGU